GACCAGCGCUAAAGAUUACAUCUUUAAUGAAAAAACAAAGAAACUGCUACCAUGGAAAUCAAAGUCAUAAAGGCAGGAGGACAUCCAGGGGACAUCACCGACAAGCAUCCAGCCCCCAUCCUUAUCCUUGUAUGUGAGUGAUCAUGUGGUUGCUUAAGGCGGGGAGUUAGGAUUAGAGAUGGCAACAGCCAACUGGAUGGCAGAUAGCCCUAUAUGAAAGUAAUAAAUUAGAAGUUUUUGAAAGCUUAAUGAUGUAAAAGUAAUUUGUUUGACUAGUUAAGUAAUUUGUUUGACUAGUUUUGGUUCAACACAAAGAUAUUGAAAUUUUGUGAUCGUAAAUUAAAUAUAAGGUAAAUGACUUAAAUGUC